UAUUUCAUGAAGGUUGUCUUGUACUUCUAUAUACAAGAACCCUUCUUGAUAAGC
rnacentral:pre_miRNA from 1 species